UUACCCGAAGAACCUUACCUGCCUUUGACAUCCGGAUGACCGGUGAGUAAUGUCACCUUUCCUUCGGGACAUUGAGACAGGUGGUGCAUGGUUGUCGUCAGCUCGUGUCGUGAGAUUUUGGGUUAAGUCUCCGCACGAGCGCAACCCUUAUCUUUCAGUACCACGUUUCAGGCAUGGGCACUCUGGAGAGACUGCCAGGGAUAACCUGGAGGAAGGUGGGGAUGACGUCAAAUCAUCAUGCCCACUUAUGGUCAGGGCUACACACGUGCAUACAAUGGCGUAACAAAGGGAGGCAGAACCGUCGAGGCUCGAGCAAAUCUCAGNAAAUACGUCUCAGUUCAGGAUUGUAGUGCUGUCAAUCUCGACUACAUGAGAUCUGUACUACUAUACGUAGAGUCUUGUACACUUNCAUGUAGUCUU
rnacentral:rRNA from 1 species